rnacentral:rRNA from 1 species
AAACUGAUCUCUCCGUGAAGAAGCGGGGAUACAAAUAUAAGACGAGAAGACCCCAUGGAGCUUUAAACCCAACGACACCCAUUUUCUUUAUACCCUAGUAUUCAUUUGGCUAUGUUUGAUUGGUUUUAGGUUGGGGUGACCACGGAGCAUAAAAUAACCUCCACGAAGAAGAGACUAAUAAUCUUUAUCAAAGAAGUACACUUCUAAGAAUUAACAAAUUAAUUUCCAAUGAUCCGAUAUUCGAUCAACGAACCAAGUUACCCUGGGGAUAACAGCGCAAUCCACCUCAAGAGCUCCUAUCGACAGGUGGGUUUACGACCUCGAUGUUGGAUCAGGAUA